UUCCUCAAUGCCGCCCGACAAUAAACCUGCAUCAGAAUCCAAUGAAACUAAUGGGAAGACAUCUCAACCAGGGACACAUGUUUCAGUACACAUCAGCAUCAGAAAUUAUGAAAGUGGUAAAGGAUUAAAGAGCAAUCUACUCCAGGGCUCAACGGUGUCACAACUGACUAAAGAAGGUCAGACUGCCAGAGUCAUUCAGGGAAUCCGAUACAGCAUAAAUGGCCGGGGUCACAGUGGGUGGGCAGGAUGACUCAGCUCGCCUUACCAGACUGAUGACACUCAUUUGGGGACCUCUGCUAUCCUCAUGAAGAACAAGUCAGUUGAGAAAUCCUAGAAGUUCUGUCUAAUCUGUAUGAAAAAAAGAUGAUCCCAAAUACAUAACUACGUACUUUUGCAUUGAUAGCACUUGUCUUUAUACCACUUGUACACUUUAUCCUUCCAUUCUCACAUAAAACCUAUUCUUCACACAAGAAGCAUUAGCCUAAAGUUUCAACUAUUGACCAAACGCAAGUCCACUUCUUUCUUGUUGCGGUCAACUAUAUGACCCUGAAAAUAAUCUUCGUAUCCUUCCACCAUCUCAUAAAUAUACUUUCACUUACCCCUUAAUUCUGAGCUACAACCGGAAAAUUGAAUGGAUGCAGCCGUUCGCCCUGUGCACAUA